CGCAGUAUCCAGGGAGCUUAGUUUUCUGUGGCCCAGGAGGGCAGGAGAACCGGUGUUGAUGAGGAGAUCUGAGGUUGGCCCCAACUUUUCCCCACAGCUCUGCUUCAAGGAGUGCCCUGGGAAGGCCUCCCAACCCCACACCUGUCCUGUUGGCCAAGGCGAGCUCCAUGCCAUGUGGCAUCUCUGCCGCUGGCCACCUGCUCCAGCUGCUCGAUGCCACACAAACGAAUCCAACCACUCCUCCUUCCUGGGUGAGAUGGUCUCUCUCCUGCCACAGGCAACUCCGACGGCAUUUUCCAGCCACCGCAGCCACCGCAGCCACUGCAGUAACAAGACCCUGUCCUUGACUGAGUUCCAGCCAGGCUCCUCGGAGCCUCUCCACUCGGCCUCAACCUUGGCUUGUAAAGACUUGAGCAGACACUAACAGUUUCUAACAGCUUCUGGCCGUACCCCUAGGCCGACCCCUGCCCCGUCAACACCUGCCUGAGAAAGCUCCGUGCACCAGAACUCACCGUUUGGACCAACCCCGACCUCCCUUUCUCAGGGUAUCUGCUGAGAGGGCCGCAACCACACGUCCUUCUGUCUGUUCCCGAUGUCUGUGCAUUUCCUGUGACCCAGGAGGGUCUUUCUCGGGACCUGAGAGCCGCUCCCUGAAGUGUCCCCAUUGGGAAGGAUGGGGCCUGUGUCUCCAGGCUCUGGGAGGACAGAAUCCUGACCUCAACAGUGGCCGGCACGGACACAGCGGGUCCCAUCCCGGGGACGCUGACCAGCGCUGGGCAACUUUUCCCUUCCCCGACGACUGAGCCCCGAGCACCCACCCUGCUCCCCCUACCACCUCCCUUUACAAGGCUGUGGCCUCUGCACAGAUGAAGGCCUGGGAGGAUCCAUGUCUGCUGUGGGAGCCGCCCCGCUGUGGUCCUGAGCUGACGCACACAGAUCUGACACCCACCUCUCGCUUCGGACCAUGGUUGGUUCUGGAAGGCCCUCCCUGUGGCUCUGCCUGGCCAGCCUGAGCCAGCUCCCAGCCUCGACCCAGCUUUCCCUGGAGGCCCUGUCCCCCGCAGAGUGACCAGGGCAGGCAGCACCGUGCCCAGCAGGAGGAGAAACUGCAUCCAUGUAGAAAAGAGGAGAAGCCCCGGGGGUCCAUGUAGCGACAGGGGCCAGGGAGGGUCGCUCGGGCAAUGCGUGUGGCUGCAGGAGGCGGGGGGCGUAUGCAGGGAGCCCCCGAGGUGCAGCUGGACCAGCCUCCUCCUGAAUGUGCUUCCCACCGGGGGCAGGAGGCGCGUGGACACAGGAAGGCGGCUCCCAUCACGAAGUACAAGACUUAAAAAGGAUAUUUUAUUGUCAUCACAAAAGAAACAUCAAAGACAAUUAAUGAGCUUUAGAAAAUUUAAAAGAAGAAGAAAAGCUACCAAAGCUGAAAUGGUGGCACCUCCUUCGAGUGAGCCCGGGAGUCCUCCCUGACGGCCGAGGCAGGCGCUGGCCGCAGUCCCGCUCGAGCCUCCCUUCCUGUCUGCGGAUUCUGCGUGACAGUCACGGAACGGCGUGAUGGGGGCAGCAGAGCGUGGGGGCCUCUGUCCAGCACUCGUGGCCAGCAGCCCCGCUUUCGCAAGAACACGGGCACCCUCUUUGGCAUCUUGCCUCUCCACCUGGUGCCCCCAGAGUGGCUGCUUGUUCCUGCUGCACGUGACCCGGGGCUGGACGCCAGCCUCUGUGAUGAGUUCUGGCUGUGUCCACGCUCCUGGCUCUCCCGGUGUCCCUCCACCUCUCUCCCCGAUGCUCCUGGGCCUCCUCUGUCCUCAGGCCCCACCAAGGCUGAGUCUUGCCCGCCUGGGACCUGGUCACCAGCCUUCUCUGGGAGGCCUGUCUGGGCAGAUGCCCAGCCCUUCCUUGGGCUAUCCUCACUCUUGCACUGUGGGGCUCCUGCAGUGGCCACAUGGCCCAGGCUCUUCUCUGAGUGAUCUCGGUGGACUGGAGUGGGUGGGAGGUGGCAGUGUCCUGGGCCUGGCCCCUUCUCUCCCCAGUGCGGACUCUGGGGCUGGCUGUCCCUGCGGGUCCAGUUCCACCCGAGAAUCCAGCAGUGUAGGCAGGCAGCCAAGGGGUGGUGCUGGCACCGAGACUGUUCCCAGGAGCCAGAGAGCAGCGUUCUUUGCUUGAAAUCAGAACAACCUCAUUCCUCAUGUCAGGAGUUCACGGGAGUGCCCGGAAUGGAGGCUGGCUGGCUGCGGGCUGGGAGGAAGGCCGUCUGAGUGAGCCUUCGCAGCUCUCGGAAGCCUCCCCAACAGGGCCUGAUGGUGCUGUGGCUUCCCUACCUUGGCGGCUGAUGCUCCCACUCACCAUCUGGAAACCACGCCUGUGUUCAGGAGGCUGGCGUGGACGGGGUUGGCUCCAGGGCCAGCUCCUGCCUGGGUGGGGGCCUCGGAUGCUGGUCACUGCCUCCUUUUGUGUGAGCAUCUGGCGGUCUGGAGGGCAGGGACAUCCUGCUGAGGGGACACCUGGUCCCCAGCUCCCUGCAUGCACCAAGCAGCGGAGGUCUGGGGUAGACCUGCUAUGCACAGGGUCUGGAAGGGGGGCGUGUCAGGGCUCAGAGGGCGACUGCAAAGACAGAGAGCCAUGGGGUUGAGGGCGGUGAGGUCGGGGGCAGUUGUGGCCUGGGUGGUGGCUGAGCAUGGCCCACGGCUCGUGUGUGGGAUCUGGGUGGCCCUGGACACCCCGCAGAGGGUGGCCCUAGGCCCCCUGCCCAAUCAUGUUCCUAUAGUCGGGGAUGAUGGUCUGCUUCAGGUCCACCACCGAGGAGAAGAUCCACUUCA